rnacentral:rRNA from 1 species
AUACGGAGGGGACUAGCGUUGUUCGGAAUUACUGGGCGUAAAGAGUUCGUAGGCGGGUUGGCAAGUCAGAUGUGAAGUCCUACAGCUUAACUGGAGAACUGCAUUUGAAACUGCUAACCUAGAGUAUGGGAGGGGGAGAUGGAAUUAGUGGUGUAGGGGUAAAAUCCGUAGAUAUCACUAGGAAUACCGAAAGCGAAGGCGAUCUCCUGGAACAUAACUGACGCUAAGGCGUGAAAGCGUGGGGAGCAAACAGGAUUAGAUACCCUAGUAGUCC